rnacentral:sRNA from 1 species
UUAUUUGCGUCAACUCGGUGAAGACGAUGUAACUCAUCGGCCGAGGUGUGAUGGAAGUUUAGUGAAAUCCGUAAACGAUAGCUUACGGAGGUAGCUAUCCCCAUACAGUGAUGUAUGGGGAGAAGACGGAAACCGUCAAGUUCAAGUUACAGCACUGAAUAAUCUUGCGAUAAAAGCUGAUGCCCUCGCGGGACGGGCAAUAGACGCUCCGGUGGAGAAUAACCCUGUACGCCUUUUGCGUAGCGGUAAAAUGAAACGGAAGGGAAGCUAAUAACCGUCUUGGACAUGAAGCCCGGAAACGGGAUAUAACGCGAGAAGCAGGCACAAGUAGCCCAAGUCCGCUCUAUUACAGGAGCAAGUGGAAAACAUAACUCAGAUUUACUGAAGUGGGUGAAAGUUGCGGGUAUCAUUCCCGUGUGGUCUAGGCGAAAGCGGUGUGAAAAUGCCAGGGGUCGCUACCCGAAGCACAGAGUCACAUCACCAUUGAGCGAAUAUUAUCAAGGGUUAUUUGGCAUCCCGAAG